CUUGAACAACCGCACUAGGGUUGAGCCGUAUACCUUGCAAAUUCAAUUUCCGCUCUAUCCGAAGCACCUCAUGCCAAUCCAUGAAGUGUACCGACGUCCAAACAAGACGUUUGUAGAUGUAGCCGGAGUUGUUGUGCACUGGUGUGAACUUGAGCACGUUGGUCACAGAAAAACCUAUAGAGAGGUCAUACUAAUGGACACAAGGUUCAACCUGAUAGUUGUUGGAAUUUGGUGUGAGCUUUUAGAGCGGUAUGCGGUAAGCUUGCAAUCUGCGGG